rnacentral:rRNA from 1 species
GAAUUCGAUUGGGGAAUUUUCCUGCAAUGGGCGAAAGCCUGACGGAGCAAGACCGCGUGGGGGAUGAAGGUUUGUGGAUUGUAAACCCCUUUUGAUUGGGAAGAAUACUGACGGUACCAAUCGAAUAAGCCUCGGCUAACUCCGUGCCAGCAGCCGCGGUAAUACGGAGGAGGCAAGCGUUAUCCGGAAUUAUUGGGCGUAAAGCGUCCGUAGGUGGUUUAGUAAGUCUGCUGUUAAAGCGCGGGGCUUAACUCCGUAUCGGCAGUGGAAACUACUAGACUAGAGUGUGGUAGGGGUAGAGGGAAUUCCCAGCUGUAGCGGUGAAAUGCGUAGAUAUUGGGAAGAACACCGGUGGCGAAAGCGCUCUACUGGGCCAUAACUGACACUGAUGGACGAAAGCUAGGGGAGCGAAAGGGAUUAGAUACCCC